ensembl:lncRNA
AGAAAACGUACCCGAGUACCCCCGACCCAAGUUUCACGUGUCUCACCUGAAACAUGACACAGAGCGAGGGGCUUUAUGUUGGAUCAGGACAGACGGUGGCUUCAAGGAUCCUCACAGAGGCUUCGGGGAUCCACACAAAUGGUCACUGGUGUGGUGGAGUCUGGCUGUGAGACCCGAGGAGAUCCAGGCAGCCGAGACGAUGCUGCUGAAGAAGACCUACCCAAACCAGACGAAAGAGCAGGCUGCGAAGCAGCAGAGAUUCCUGUGGAGGUUCGCCACCUCUCCAGCCUUCAGUGAGAAGUCCAGGUAUGGCUCAUACCGCUUCACCUUCCCCCUGCAGGACGUGCUGACCGCCUACAGCAAGCAGUUUUGCUUUGGAGCUACGCCCAUCAUGAGAGUGUUCAGGACUUGCCUGUUCAAACAGGAAGUGCAGUACUCUGUGUUGGUCCACAGCCCAGCCAAUCGGGAGCUCUUCUCAGAGUUUCCAUUACUUCCUGGUAAUGACCCAAACACUGUCUGCGCCUACAGAGAUGGACGCUUAAUCUGGAGGUCAGAGGCCAUGUGUGAAACACACAGGUACAAGCUGAUCCACAGACCUGAUACAAGCCAGAUGCACACUCUGAAGUUGUUUAGACAGCCUCAGUUUUAUCUUUGGGAUAAUGUUGCCAUCGCCCUGCAUGUGGAGAACGGACAGGUACUAAAGUUUGAUUCUGACCAACUGAGAGAGAACCUGAAGUUCUGUGAGCCAGACAGACCUACAAUCACACCCAACUUCUAUUUUGAUCAUUUUGAAAAUGCUAAAAUCUUGGUUAACCAAUUGUGGCCUGACUCAGACACC